AUGCCUCUUCAUUUUUGUAGUUCAUUUUUCUUCCAGUUUUUGUUGGUGCUAGACUUAUCGAUGAAGAAUCAUUAUGCGAUGACAUCUAGGAUUAACUUGUACUGUGUGUCAUGUUCUUCUUGUAAUUAUACUAGGAGUGUGGCAACUUGUCCUGUUGAAAUUGGAGUUUGUUUGUUGUUGCCUUGUGUGCAUGGUGGCCUUCUGUUCAUGUUAGAAAACUUCACACAAGGAGUAAGCUAUAUAGAUAGACUGAUAAUCAAACUGCAGGUGCAUUUGUCAUUUCUAUAUAAAACAUCCCUACUGUGUUACUUCUAA
rnacentral:rRNA from 1 species